UACGUAGGGGGCAAGCGUUGUCCGGAUUCAUUGGGCGUAAAGAGCGUGUAGGCGGCCAGGUAGGUCGGUUGUGAAAACUGGAGGCUCAACCUUCAGAGGUCGACCGAAACCAUCUGGCUAGAGUCCGGGAGAGGAGAGUGGAAUUCCUGGUGUAGCGGUGAAAUGCGCAGAUAUCAGGAGGAACACCAAUUGCGAAGGCAGGUUACUACUAAUGGAUUGACGCUGAUGGACGAAAGCGUGGGUAGCGAACAGG
rnacentral:rRNA from 1 species